rnacentral:ribozyme from 1 species
UGGCAUUUUCCACACACAUACUGCUGGCGUUCUUUUCCUUUUUUUAGUCUUACCGAGGCCAUG